CAUUAGCCCGCUGCUACAAGAUAUUCUUACCUGCUAAAAACGUAGCCUCUUUUCUUUAUUGACACAAAACAAAGGGACAAAGCCCAUUACUGGCACCUACUGGUUGGGAGUCUGAACAAAGUGCCUGCUUUUUUACAUUUCGUGCAAUUAUUUUUAACUAUAUAUGUCAAUCUAUAUUUUGCCAGUGAGUUUUACCUCAGUAAUUUACUGUGCUUCCGUAAGAACAUUCAACAUUUGCGCUUUGAAUGUCCAAACUUUUCUUUAGUAGGCAUGGCAGUAGGCAGGCCGGGCACCAUAACGUUUGAAUUAUUGUGGUAGCUUGCCUUGCUGUGUAACUUAAUGUUAUGAGAGUUGAGAGAGAUCCAUUCCAUAUUGAACCGACAGAAAGAGCUGUACUGUAAAUGGACAGUGGAGGAAGAGGACGUGGAAGGGGGAAGUCAGGACAAGGAUGCCCGCCUGUCCAAGUCUCUGUCCUUUGCACUAUGGAGCCAAUCAGAUGGAACUUCACAUAAAUCCUGUUAUAAAAGCAUCUUAUUUAAUCCCACUGUUCCAUCAUUUCACUAUAAACAUUUUUUUUUUUUAACCUUUAUUUAACUAGGCAAGUCAGUUAAGAACAAAUUCUUAUUUUCAAUGACGGCCUAGGAACAGUGGGUUAACUGCCUGUUCAGGGGCAGAACGACAGAUUUGUACCUUGUCAGCUCGGGGAUUUGAACUUGGAUCCUUGCGGUUACUAGUCCAACACUCUAACCACUAGGCUACCCUGCCGCCAUGACAUGCACCCCUACAAUCUUUACUCCUCAUUUACACUGAGUGCACAAAAAAGUUUGGAUUGAUUGAUUGAUUUUGUCCGGGGGAAAAAAACAUACAUACCACUAAGAUGACCGGGAUUGCACAGUAAAGUUGGGGACUUAUUUCCAUUGUGGUCCCUAUUUUGUUGUUGUUACAUAAAUACAUAAACAAUUACUUAGAGACGAAAAAAUGCUGAAUCUCCAGAUGAGUAUGAUGUGGUUUUAAGUACAAUUCUUACCAGUUUGUUUGGCUGGUAGCUUAUUCUUUAGAUGUUUGUGGCUGCUGGUGAACCAUGAUGUGCAGCAUAAUCAAGUGACACUGGACUGGUGCACUUGCCAGAGUUUUUAGGGUGUCUAUAGCUAGGUUUCCAUUCAGUUGGCGACAGAUUUUCAUGUGAAUAUUGUGGUAAACCGGGGUGUUGGGCUGAGCUGCAGAAAAAAACACACAAUCCUCCCCUGUGUCCCCCCCAAAAACACAACCAUCCCCUGUGCCCCCCCCCAAAAACACAAAACCCUCCCCUCUGUCCCCCCAAAAAACACACUACCCUCCCCUGUGUCCCCCCAAAAAACGCACUACCCUCCCAAAAGAAAAAAGAAAAGGUUGGCAACCCUCCCGUGUUUUGGACCACCCCUCACCCCAGUCCGAUCUGUCCCUAAGCACUGUGAAAUUAUUUGUUGCCCAAAUAAGGAGGGCUUUCUGGGAAGGCUUAAUAGCCUACUCCUAGCUUUACAAGCAUUCUCAAUUAAUGAUUUCUUUAAGUGCUUUAAGUCCUGGAAUAUGCUUAAUCUGGGUCUGGGAAACUUGCCAUAGAGCCUCUCAUAGAUGGGCUUCCUUUGAUGUCUGUAUCCUCCCUUUGCUCCAGGUAUGAGGAGAGACUGUGACCUGGCCAUAUUCACUGAUGUCCCCAAAGCCUUGUCUGAUAACUUAAAGUAUCAGAGUGCUGUCAUUGUCUAAAUGCAUAAGUAUUUUUCUUGAUGUGUUUGUGGUUUUUGUGCAGAGGCUAUCCAGUUCUUCUGACUGGAGAACGGUGUAUUGCUGACACAUGGGGAUACUGAGGGCGAAACUACUUCCCCGCCCUAAAACUAAGACCCACAUAGAGUAUUCUGCCACUGGAGUAGGUGAAGAGGCUUAUCUGCGCUUCGGAGGUAAAAGACAUGGCUGAGUUUGUCAUCAGACAGCUGUCGAUUUCCAGUUCUGUCUAGACUGUUUCCAUGGAAACGGAUACUGUUCGGAACCAGAACCAGAAGACUGAAUGAAGACUAUGAGUCUGAAAACACCCUCAACAACAGCUCUAUUACCAUACAGGCCACAGUACAGGCACAGAGACUGACGGGUGUUCCUGAUAACACUGUCACAUGACUGGAAGACACAAAAGGAUGCUAUCUAUCAGAUGGGAAGCAGAAGGCACAAGCUGUGGUUUUGUCAACGGACAGUCUCAACUGUGCCACAGAGAUAGGAAAA